rnacentral:sRNA from 1 species
UUAGUUACAGAGUGAUUAUACAGAAGAUGCAACAGAUACUAAACCUGAUAGGGAUAUCGAGUUAGAGCUUUCAGCACUUGAUACUGAUGAACCUGAUGGACAAAGUGAACCAAUUGAAGAGAUCUUGGACAUACAGCUUGGUAUCAGUUCUCAAAAUGAUCAGUUGCUAAAUGGAGCGGCAGUGGAAAAUGGGCAUCCAGUACAGCAGCACCAAAAGGAGCCACCAAAGCAGAAGAAACAGAGUUUAGGUGAAGACCAUGUGAUUCUGGAGGAGCAAAAAACAAUUCUGCC